UUUUAUUAUUCCAAAAAGAACUUCCGCGAUUGCGUGUCUACAACAACAAACAUUCAACAUGUCGAAAGUCACUUUUAAAAUAACUCUGACGUCAGAUUCAAAACUACCAUAUAAAGUAUUAUCUGUGCCUGAAGCUGCACCUUUCACAGCAGUUCUAAAAUUUGCAGCUGAAGAGGUUA
rnacentral:sRNA from 1 species